CGCCUCUUGCACCCACAUAAGAGGUCCAGCCUGCCCAGUGACUAAGUUCAACGGCCGCGGUAUCCUAACCGUGCGAAGGUAGCGUAAUCACUUGUUCUUUAAAUGAGGACUAGUAUGAAUGGCACCACGAGGGUUAUGCUGUCUCCUUUUUCUAAUCAAUGAAACUGAUCUCCCCGUGAAGAAGCGGGGAUGCAUAUAUAAGACGAGAAGACCCUAUGGAGCUUUAAACCAUGUAACACUGGCUACCACAUUAUAAUAUUUCAGAAUUAUCAUAAUUAUUCUAGCCAUUAUGAUUACUAGUUUUAGGUUGGGGUGACCACGGAGCAAAAAUUAACCUCCAUGUUGAAAGGAGCUUUUCCUGAGCCCUAAGCCACGACUUUAAGCACUAACAAAUUAACAUUAAUUGACCCAAUAUUUUGAUCAACGAACCAAGUUACCCUAGGGAUAACAGCGCA
rnacentral:rRNA from 1 species